UCUCUCUGCAUCUUCUCUAAUCUCCACUAAUCUACAUUAAACCUCACUACUUUCUGCAAUGGAAACGGAAAGAUUUUCUAAUUUCUCGGCCAACAGUUUGCCUGCUCUCCCUUCGGCUUCACCCAGAUAAAUUGACUGCCGUCAUUAGUCUACUUGCUAAUUCCAUUGUUUGGUGAAGCAAGUCCACCAGAAGGCCUCGAAGUCCAAGCACACUUUGAUUGAUAUUUAUUCCCACCACCAGCCCAAUGUGCUGCACACACUACAGUCUACAGCCCCUUGGGAAGCGUCCGGAUCUGGUCCGCCAUUAGAAAAGGAAAACGAGAAGACAACCAUCGCUCAUUUGGCUUGGUUUCGCUGCUCUCGGGCGGAUCGCAUCCCAAAUUCCCAACCACUUAGGAACCGAAGCGUCCACUGCAAGAACUCUGGUGAGGGCGUCACUAUUUGGGGUAAGAGGAGCUGAGAAGGCCAUGGUAUUGCUUGACUUUCCUUCCCAUCCAGCCUUCGCCAUGCCCGAUCUGAAGGAGCUCGGAGGCUUCACCAGCAUGGGCGCCUACAACAUGACAAGAGGCAACAACGAUGCCACAUCGGUUUCCCUGGAUCUUCAGUUUCUUCACUCCGCUGAACUCUUUCUGGAUUUUUGGAAUUGUGUGGGCAGACAAGUGAGUACAUCUCUACUUUGUUUGUAUUGGAACAGUGUUAAGAAUUUUUUGUAACAAGUAAAAUAUCACAAAAAAAUCACAGGAGAUGGAUAAAUAGGCGCAUAUACUUGCUGGCAGGACAGUUUCUGGGAAUACUACUGCUAAUGAUUGUUUAUCUCAUCUCCACAAAGUUGCUUCCCAGAUCGUAUUGUUUUCAGAAUCUUCCUAUAUUUUUUAUCUGAUGUAUAAUUGCAAGUCUAUCUAGAUGGUAAUGCUCUUUCAAUAUGUUUAUGCUUCAA
rnacentral:lncRNA from 1 species